GCGAAGUGAACAGAGGAGCAGAGCCUGCUGGUGGAGGAGAAGAGAGGAGUGUUAAAGCACCAGCCUGGAAUGUGAGCAGCUCUGGUUCCUGCUGCAUUCAGAAGCUAGAGAGGAGAUAGCAGCACCAGAGAACGUCUCCACAGAUGUUGAAGAUAACCAUUUAGGCUGCUGACAUCAUCAUGAACAAUACAGCAGAUUCACCUCAUUUACAUCUUCCUGCUCUGGAUAUAGAGCUCAGAUUAUUGGACUGUUGGAGACACUUUCUAUUUAUGUAUUUAUCUAUAUUUUCUUUGAAGCAUUUUACAGUCUGUAAAUAUUAAAAUAAUUCUAUACGA